UGAACGCUGGCGGCAGGCUUAACACAUGCAAGUCGAGCGGGGGAAGGUAGCUUGCUACCGGACCUAGCGGCGGACGGGUGAGUAAUGCUUAGGAAUCUGCCUAUUAGUGGGGGACAACAUCUCGAAAGGGAUGCUAAUACCGCAUACGUCCUACGGGAGAAAGCAGGGGAUCUUCGGACCUUGCGCUAAUAGAUGAGCCUAAGUCGGAUUAGCUAGUUGGUGGGGUAAAGGCCUACCAAGGCGACGAUCUGUAGCGGGUCUGAGAGGAUGAUCCGCCACACUGGGACUGAGACACGGCCCAGACUCCUACGGGAGGCAGCAGUGGGGAAUAUUGGACAAUGGGGGGAACCCUGAUCCAGCCAUGCCGCGUGUGUGAAGAAGGCCUUAUGGUUGUAAAGCACUUUAAGCGAGGAGGAGGCUACUUUAGUUAAUACCUAGAGAUAGUGGACGUUACUCGCAGAAUAAGCACCGGCUAACUCUGUGCCAGCAGCCGCGGUAAUACAGAGGGUGCGAGCGUUAAUCGGAUUUACUGGGCGUAAAGCGUGCGUAGGCGGCUUAUUAAGUCGGAUGUGAAAUCCCCGAGCUUAACUUGGGAAUUGCAUUCGAUACUGGUGAGCUAGAGUAUGGGAGAGGAUGGUAGAAUUCCAGGUGUAGCGGUGAAAUGCGUAGAGAUCUGGAGGAAUACCGAUGGCGAAGGCAGCCAUCUGGCCUAAUACUGACGCUGAGGUACGAAAGCAUGGGGAGCAAACAGGAUUAGAUACCCUGGUAGUCCAUGCCGUAAACGAUGUCUACUAGCCGUUGGGGCCUUUGAGGCUUUAGUGGCGCAGCUAACGCGAUAAGUAGACCGCCUGGGGAGUACGGUCGCAAGACUAAAACUCAAAUGAAUUGACGGGGGCCCGCACAAGCGGUGGAGCAUGUGGUUUAAUUCGAUGCAACGCGAAGAACCUUACCUGGCCUUGACAUACUAGAAACUUUCCAGAGAUGGAUUGGUGCCUUCGGGAAUCUAGAUACAGGUGCUGCAUGGCUGUCGUCAGCUCGUGUCGUGAGAUGUUGGGUUAAGUCCCGCAACGAGCGCAACCCUUUUCCUUACUUGCCAGCAUUUCGGAUGGGAACUUUAAGGAUACUGCCAGUGACAAACUGGAGGAAGGCGGGGACGACGUCAAGUCAUCAUGGCCCUUACGGCCAGGGCUACACACGUGCUACAAUGGUCGGUACAAAGGGUUGCUACACAGCGAUGUGAUGCUAAUCUCAAAAAGCCGAUCGUAGUCCGGAUUGGAGUCUGCAACUCGACUCCAUGAAGUCGGAAUCGCUAGUAACCGCGGAUCAGAAUGCCGCGGUGAAUACGUUCCCGGGCCUUGUACACACCGCCCGUCACACCAUGGGAGUUUGUUGCACCAGAAGUAGCUAGCCUAACUGCAAAGAGGGCGGUUACCACGGUGUGGCCGAUGACUGGGGUG
rnacentral:rRNA from 1 species